UGGUAAUACCGGAUGCUCCGCUCCAUCGCAUGGUGGGGUGGGAAAUGCUUUUGCGGCAUGGGAUGGGGUCGCGUCCUAUCAGCUUGUUGGCGGGGUGAUGGCCCACCAAGGCGUUGACGGGUAGCCGGCCUGAGAGGGUGACCGGCCACAUUGGGACUGAGAUACGGCCCAGACUCCUACGGGAGGCAGCAGUGGGGAAUAUUGCACAAUGGGCGCAAGCCUGAUGCAGCGACGCCGCGUGCGGGAUGGAGGCCUUCGGGUUGUAAACCGCUUUUGUUCAAGGGCAAGGCACGGUUUCGGCCGUGUUGAGUGGAUUGUUCGAAUAAGCACCGGCUAACUACGUGCCAGCAGCCGCGGUAAUACGUAGGGUGCGAGCGUUAUCCGGAUUUAUUGGGCGUAAAGGGCUCGUAGGCGGUUCGUCGCGUCCGGUGUGAAAGUCCAUCGCCUAACGGUGGAUCUGCGCCGGGUACGGGCGGGCUGGAGUGCGGUAGGGGAGACUGGAAUUCCCGGUGUAACGGUGGAAUGUGUAGAUAUCGGGAAAGAACACCA
rnacentral:rRNA from 1 species